rnacentral:rRNA from 1 species
UACGUAGGGUGCGAGCGUUGUCCGGAAUUAUUGGGCGUAAAGAGCUUGUAGGCGGUUUGUCGCGUCUGCCGUGAAAAUUCGAGGCUCAACCUCGAACUUGCGGUGGGUACGGGCAGACUAGAGUGUGGUAGGGGGAGACUGGAAUUCCUGGUGUAGCGGUGAAAUGCGCAGAUAUCAGGAGGAACACCGGUGGCGAAGGCGGGUCUCUGGGCCGAUACUGACGCUGAGGAGCGAAAGCGUGGGGAGCGAACAGG